rnacentral:tRNA from 1 species
GCCAGUGUGGCAUAAGUGGUUUGAGCAUUGGACUAUGACUCGAGACCAGGGUUCAAUUCCCUGCUCAGCCA